rnacentral:rRNA from 1 species
GAUGAACGCUGGCGGCGUGCCUAAUACAUGCAAGUCGAGCGAACGGACGAGAAGCUUGCUUCUCUGAUGUUAGCGGCGGACGGGUGAGUAACACGUGGAUAACCUACCUAUAAGACUGGGAUAACUUCGGGAAACCGGAGCUAAUACCGGAUAAUAUUUUGAACCGCAUGGUUCAAAAGUGAAAGACGGUCUUGCUGUCACUUAUAGAUGGAUCCGCGCUGCAUUAGCUAGUUGGUGAGGUAACGGCUUACCAAGGCAACGAUGCAUAGCCGACCUGAGAGGGUGAUCGGCCACACUGGAGCUGAGACACGGUCCGGGCUCCUACGGGAGGCAGCAGUAGGGAAUCUUCCGCAAUGGGCGAAAGCCUGACGGAGCAACGCCGCGUGAGUGAUGAAGGUCUUCGGAUCGUAAAACUCUGUUAUUAGGGAAGAACAUAUGUGUAAGUAACUGUGCACAUCUUGACGGUACCUAAUCAGAAAGCCACGGCUAACUACGUG